rnacentral:piRNA from 1 species
UACUCCUUGGAGAUGAUAGAAGUGGCCUGU